UUCCUAUCCCAAAGACAACACGGUCCGGCUCGAACCUACACACAGACCCAUUCUCACAUAGGCCGUCUCUCCGUGUCGGCGUGUCUCUCCCGCUUUCUGGCACCGACGCUCACACCAACAAGAGGAGGAGCGCGACAAGGCCGCGGAUUGUGAAGAUUGUGGCUGCCUCGCCGUAACUAGGCCACUGUUUCUCCACCGAACAUGGAGAGAUAUUCUGGGCUGAGAUGUUAUUAGUGUAACCCAGUUUGCCCAUCACCAGGUGACUACAGGAGGAGGUACGCCCCACAGGGACACGGGCUUAAAGGACAAUGCAUGCAGAGUUGAGGGGGGGGUGUUGUUGCUGAGAGACAGUGAUGAUUCUGCAUUCCUGAAUCAUUUGAAGACACUCCUAGAUUCCUGAAUCACUGAAGCUCAAGGUUUCCAGACAGGAGAUGUCAAAUUCUUAAAUAUUAAAUUCGAUUCAAAAUGCAA